rnacentral:rRNA from 1 species
AGAAUCAACGCUGGCGGCGUGCCUCAGACAUGCAAGUCGAACGCGAAAGUCCCCUUCGGGGGACAAGUAGAGUGGCGCACGGGUGAGUAACACGUAGGUAAUCUACCUUUGGAUGGGGAAUAACAACCGGAAACGGUUGCUAAUACCGCAUAAUAGCAGCGGCACCUAAUGGUGACAGUUGUUAAAGCGGGGGAUCGAAAGACCUCGCGUCUGAAGAGGAGCCUGCGGCGGAUUAGCUAGUUGGUAAGGUAAUGGCUUACCAAGGCUACGAUCC